rnacentral:rRNA from 1 species
UAAGACAGAGGUCCCGAGCGUUAGGCGGAAUCACUGGGCUUAAAGCGUGUGUAGGCGGAUUUGUAAGUACCUUGUGAAAUCCCACGGCUUAACCGUGGAACUGCUUGGUAUACUGCUUAUCUUGGGCCAUCUAGGGGCUACCGGAACAAGUGGUGGAGCGGUGAAAUGCGUAGAUAUCACUUGGAACGCCAAUGGUGAAAACAGGUAGCUGGGGAUGUGCCGACGCUGAGACACGAAAGCCAGGGGAGCGAACGGGAUUAGAUACCCCGGUAGUCCUGGCUGUAAACGAUGUCGACUAGAUCGUAGUGGCUCUGACGCUAUUACGGUCGAAGCAAAAGUGCUAAGUCGACCGCCUGGGAAGUACGGUCGCAAGGCUA